rnacentral:rRNA from 1 species
GAUUGAACGCUGGCGGCAUGCCUUACACAUGCAAGUCGAACGGUAACAGGUCUUCGGAUGCUGACGAGUGGCGAACGGGUGAGUAAUACAUCGGAACGUGCCCAGUAAUGGGGGAUAGCUCGGCGAAAGCCGGAUUAAUACCGCAUACGCCCUGAGGGGGAAAGUGGGGGAUCGCAAGACCUCACGUUAUUGGAGCGGCCGAUGGCUGAUUAGCUAGUUGGUAGGGUAAAGGCCUACCAAGGCGACGAUCAGUAGCUGGUCUGAGAGGACGAUCAGCCACACUGGGACUGAGACACGGCCCAGACUCCUACGGGAGGCAGCAGUGGGGAAUUUUGGACAAUGGGGGAAACCCUGAUCCAGCAAUGCCGCGUGUGCGAAGAAGGCCUUCGGGUUGUAAAGCACUUUUGUCAGGGAAGAAAUCCUUUGGGCUAAUACCCUAGGG